GACAGAGGGUGCAAACGUUGUUCGGAAUUACUGGGCGUAAAGCGCGUGUAGGCGGCUCUGCAAGUCGGAUGUGAAAUCCCACGGCUCAACCAUGGAAGUGCAUUCGAAACUGCAGGGCUAGAGUCCUGGAGAGGAAGGUGGAAUGCUUGGUGUAGAGGUGAAAUUCGUAGAUGUCAAGCGGAACACCGGUGGCGAAGGCGGCCUUCUGGACAGUGACUGACGCUGAGACGCGAAAGCGUGGGGAGCAAAAGGG
rnacentral:rRNA from 1 species